CAGUUUCCCUGUCUGGGCCGCAAAGGAGGCGGUUCCCCGUCAGAGACUCCAAACGGGGCCGCGUGAGGGCUGAGAGUCCUUGUGGGCCUGAGGCUACGAGGAGUCCGGGGAGGCUUCCCGGAGGAGGUGGCGGCAUCCCAGGACUCAUCUAUGCCCAGAAACAGGAAGCGUCAGGGUGACAGGAGUCAACACCUGCUUCAUCUGCCAUCAGCUUCUCUUCACCUGGAACACCCCUUGGACUCCAUCAUCAGAAGGUUCUACUCCAGUUUAACAUGAUUACUGAAAAUGCUUCUACUGUGAUAAUUCAAUGUUCCUUAUGUCCUCUUAAACAAAAACCUGGAUGAAAAGAGUUACAUCAAACCCUGAGUAAUUAGAAAGGAAUAGAAGCAGUAGUCUCUCAUUUUGUGAGAGAAUAGAAGUCUGACAACUGCACCUGAUCUUUUUUCCCCCUUGGCAUGCAUUUUAUGGAAUCUGAAAGUUGUAUCUGAUUGUAAGUACUAUAUCUUAAAGAGGCCAUGUAGAGAAGUAAGAGAAAUGCUGCACACAAGAGUUAGGAGAUUUGAAUUUGAGUCCUGUCUUCUGCUACUUACUAGCUGGGUUUUCUUGGAGUAAUCACUUCACCUCUCUGAUCCUCAGUUUUCUUGUCUGUAGAAUGGAGAUAAUACUUUUAUUGCCUACUUUACAGGGUUGUGGGG
rnacentral:lncRNA from 1 species